rnacentral:rRNA from 1 species
UUAAAGGAAUUGACGGAAGGGCACCACCAGGAGUGGAGCCUGCGGCUUAAUUUGACUCAACACGGGGAACCUCACCAGGUCCGGACAUGAUUGCGAUGGACAGAUCGAUAGCUCUUUCUAGAUCUCAUGGAUGGUGGUGCAUGGCCGUUCUUAGUUCGUGGAGCGAUUUGUCUGGUUAAUUCCGAUAACGAGCGAGACUCUACCUUACUAACUAAGACGUACGAUAUACACGAGGUCUGUUGACGUAUGUGUGUGUUUCUGUGGCGUCACAUUCAUAUAUCUACAUAUAUAUACUUGUGUGUGUGGCGUGCGUGCGCUCGUGCCCUUCGCGGGGAUUGCGUUGCCGUAUCGCAUCGUCCACAUCAAGUGUGUUGUGUGUGUGUGUUUGUGUGUCAUGGUAUACCGCAUUACGGCACGGUCCAUACUAUCGGCGCAAAUGUUUUCUUCUUAGAAGAACAAGCUAUAUAUAGUAGCACGAGAGAGAGCAAUAACAGGUCUGUGAUGCCCUUAGAUGUCCUGGGCCGCACGCGUGCGACAAUGAAAGAGUCAAUAGGUGUCCUAGGCCGAAAUGCCCGGGUAAUCCUUGCAAACUCUUUCGUGUUGGGGAUUGGGGCUUGAAAGUGCUUCCCAUGAACGAGGAAUUCCCAGUAAGCGUAGUUGAUCAAUCUGCGCUGAUUGAGUCCCUGCCCUUUGUACACACCGCCCGUCGCUACUACCGAUGAGCGGGCUAGCGAGAUCUUCGGACCGGCGCCUCGAAAGAGGUCGUUACCGGAAAGUCGAUCAAACUUGCCCGUUUAGAGGAAGUAAAA